UACGUAGGGGGCAAGCGUUGUCCGGAAUCAUUGGGCGUAAAGAGCGUGUAGGCGGUCCGGUAAGUCGGCUGUGAAAGUCCAGGGCUCAACCCUGGGAUGCCGGUCGAUACUGCCGGACUAGAGUUCGGAAGAGGCGAGUGGAAUUCCCGGUGUAGCGGUGAAAUGUGCAGAUAUCGGGAGGAACACCUAUGGCGAAGGCAGCUCGCUGGGACGUUACUGACGCUGAGACGCGAAAGCGUGGGGAGCAAACAGG
rnacentral:rRNA from 1 species